AGAAAAUAAAUAUUGUUUCUAAUCAGAGGUAAGCUUCUAAAUAAUUCAAGGUGAAAAUCUGAAAUUUGAUCUUUAUUGUGUUAAAAUAACACAAUGACUCCAAACUGGUACAAAACACAUAAAACCUGGACAUUAAUUAUUUUUAGCUGUCAGAUCAUUUUGAUACAGAAAUCAUAACAGAUGUUUUCAGGACAUUUUGCACAUAUAACCAAACAGACUGUAUAAAAGGCUCUGAUAUUUUUUGUAUUUUAUUUUGUAAUAUUGGUUUCGAAAGUACCCUAGGAAGUGACGUAAGUCUUGAGUUAGUGCUGCCCAUGUGCUGCCCUACCGCUCAUGAGAGCAAUUUAAUAUACUUCCGGGUCAGUUUUGCUACAUUCUUAGCAUGUGAGACCGCAUUCCUGGUGUAGUCCUGGGAAGUGAUGCUCCGAGUGUUAAGUUGAUGACAGAAGACUGCUGGCAACACUGAGCAUCAAGACAAAUAAACCAGCUCACAUCUGAAGUUAAA